rnacentral:rRNA from 1 species
UACGGAGGGUGCGAGCGUUAUUCGGAAUUAUUGGGCGUAAAGGGCGUGUAGGCGGCUUAUCAAGUCAGAUGUGAAAGCCCGAGGCUCAACCUCGGAAGUGCAUUUGAAACUGGUAGGCUUGAGUGCGGGAGAGGAAAGCGGAAUUCCCAGUGUAGAGGUGAAAUGCGUAGAGAUUGGGAGGAACACCAGUGGCGAAGGCGGCUUUCUGGACUGUAACUGACGCUGAGGCAUGAAAGUGUGGGGAGCAAAC